rnacentral:rRNA from 1 species
AGUGAACGCUGGCGGUAGGCCUAACACAUGCAAGUCGAACGGCAGCACAGUAAGAGCUUGCUCUUACGGGUGGCGAGUGGCGGACGGGUGAGGAAUACAUCGGAAUCUACUUUUUCGUGGGGGAUAACGUAGGGAAACUUACGCUAAUACCGCAUACGACCUACGGGUGAAAGCAGGGGAUCUUCGGACCUUGCGCGAUUGAAUGAGCCGAUGUCGGAUUAGCUAGUUGGCGGGGUAAAGGCCCACCAAGGCGACGAUCCGUAGCUGGUCUGAGAGGAUGAUAAGCGACACUGGAACUGAGACACGGUCCAGACUCCUACGGGAGGCAGCAGUGGGGAAUAUUGGACAAUGGGCGCAAGCAUGAUCCAGCCAUACCGCGUGGGUGAAGAAGGCCUUCGGGUUGUAAAGCCCUUUUGUUGGGAAAGAAAAGCAGCAGGUUAAUACCCCGCUGUUCUGACGGUACCCAAAGAAUAAGCACCGGCUAACUUCGUG